rnacentral:rRNA from 1 species
AUUGAACGCUGGCGGCAUGCCUUACACAUGCAAGUCGAACGGCAGCACGGAGCUUGCUCUGGUGGCGAGUGGCGAACGGGUGAGUAAUAUAUCGGAACGUACCCAAGAGUGGGGGAUAACGUAGCGAAAGUUACGCUAAUACCGCAUACGAUCUAAGGAUGAAAGCAGGGGACCUUCGGGCCUUGUGCUCCUGGAGCGGCCGAUAUCUGAUUAGCUAGUUGGUGAGGUAAAGGCUCACCAAGGCAUCGAUCAGUAGCUGGUCUGAGAGGACGACCAGCCACACUGGAACUGAGACACGGUCCAGACUCCUACGGGAGGCAGCAGUGGGGAAUUUUGGACAAUGGGGGCAACCCUGAUCCAGCAAUGCCGCGUGAGUGAAGAAGGCCUUCGGGUUGUAAAGCUCUUUUGUCAGGGAAGAAACGGUGAAGGCUAAUAUCCUUUGCUAAUGACGGUACCUGAAGAAUAAGCACCGGCUAACUACGUGCCAGCAGCCGCGGUAA